rnacentral:lncRNA from 1 species
UUAGCUCCUUGGUAUCUCUUCCUUUCUUCCUUUUAUAUGAAAAUAGCUGAGCGUUGCAUAAUGUGAUCCUGAAAUGGCAGAAAAUUAUAAGUAGUUCAAAAGGAAAUUUACUUGGAAUGACUAAGCUAGAAUAAAGCAUUCCAUUUUUCAAAUACCUUUUCCUCUUGCUUUCUUGCUUUAUUAUGAUUAUUGCCGUGAUAGUUGCAUCUUUGUUGCCAUUAUUGCAAGCAAUAUAUAAUGUAGUAGACUAAUUUUUAGACUGAAUUUGCAAUAGGGCACGGCCAAAUUGAGUGUUCGAUUUGAGAAGCACCACUUCUAGAUAGUUCAACUUCUUGUCUGGUCAAUGUAGAAGUAGCAAACAAUCAAUAGUAUAACCCCAUCCAACAAGCCUCUGCUUAGAGAAGUUGCCUCUUACACCCCUUUGGUUAUGCUUUGAUUUGUGAGAGAGAGAUGUUGCAGGUUUUAAUCCGCAAUGUCUUUAGUGGACGAUUUGGAGGGAGCAAAAACAGCCGAUAUAUUGAAGGCAAGGAGAAACCUUUCUGGCAUAUUCAGUUCUUUUUCUUGGCCUUCUUUUUUUUGGCUUCUUGAGACAUUUCCGGGGGUUCUGCUGUGCAUUUAUGUGAUUUUUUUUGGGAAAGUAUGAUUUAUGAAAGUGUAGGUGUCUUUCUUUUGGGAGGCUCUUUAUAUAGAGUGGGUUUUCUGGUUUUUCUUCCAGUGCAGAAGUGCCUUAUUUUAUCCUAUGCUUUUGUGAACAGAUAAAUGGGUUCCCCUCCCCUCCUGGCACGUUUAAUAGAUUUAUUUAUCAAAACGAAAAAAAAGUAACAUACUAGGCCUAGUUUACAAAUCUCUUCCCUCAAAGUUUUAUAUUUGAUUGUUGCUGGUCAAAACAUAUUAAUUUUGAGUUUUACGUGAUUCCUAGAUGCCAAGGCAGAGUUGAAUGAGUUUGGCUUACUGGCACAAUCCAAGGAAGCAUUUGAGCAGUCACCAAGAGGAUUAAGUGGCGAAGGAGCAGUUGAGAAGGAAACUAACUUAACCUCUUUAGAUGGUUCACCUGAGUCCAGAGCUCCAACUGACUGCACCCAUCAUGAGGAGGAGGCAGUAGAAGAAGGUGUCGAGGCAGUCAAGGAACUUAAAGGUAUUGCUGAAACAAUGGAUACCGGGGAAACUGCAUCAGAUACUGGCACUAGUCAACAAGAAUUAUUGAGUGGCUACGCUAACGCUGUCAGGAAUAGUGAGACUAUUAUUUCAAAUGAAGAAAUCAACCAAGCAGAAAACACAUCCAUGAAUAAGAGUAAGUUUCAAAUCAUAAGUGAUUUAGUGUACAUAAAACAGUUUUUCCCCUGUAACUUCUUCAUUGUUUUCCAGAAGCACAUCCUCAAGUGCCUCUGGAGCUUUCAUCUAACAUGAUUGGGCAAAAAAGUGCAAUUCAUCUAUGUAUUCAUAUUCUUGAACUUCUCAUGUAGAUGAUUCAGAUGAAACUGAAGUCCAUACAACCGAUCAUAGAGAUGUCAGAAAAGAAACCAAUCUCAAUGGAGAAAUGGAAGUUGAAACUAUUGACGCCAUUAACCAGAAUGCAGCUGCCAUCUUACCCAAAAAUGUCAGGGAAGAAAAGAUUAGCAAAGGUUAGUUUUACCCGUUUCAUUCAACAUGAUGCAAAGUGUGCUUCCUCUGCCCUUAAAGGUUUUUUUUUUUAUAUUGUUCUUAGGGGUUGAUCAAGAUAAGAAAGUAGAGGGGAUAACUAGCAAGUUUGGAUCAGAUACUCAAAGCAUUGAAAUCACUUUUCUUAGAUUGGCGAAGGCCUUCAAUGAGCCAACCUCUACAGCUGAUAUAGGUGAAAAAGUGGGUCGAUAUACUGUUACACCAAGUUUGGCACCGAUUUUAAAAUUGAUCAUCGAGAGACAUGGUGACAUUGCCCUACAUUGUACACUCUCUGAUCGUAUCUGUUGUAGUAUAUUGGUUGAAAUCUGCAAAACAGUUGAGAAUCUUCAAGGCAUACCCUUUGCUAAAAUCCAAGUUCAUCAUCUCAACUCUCUGGCUGCAAUUAUAGCCGAUGCUGAGCAUGUUAAUAUUAGAGUUGAUUGGCUUCAAAACAGGCACGACAAACUCAAGGAGACUAUACUUAUGCUUAAUCAAUACCAGUCUUUAAAGUGUAGUUUACAAGAGAAGGAUGAAUUCAUCACAUCCACAAAGGAAGCAAUUGCUAUGAAGAAAGCUGAAAUAGUGAAGAUUCAGUCUGAUUGUCAGUAUCUAGAAAGCCAGCGAGAUUCGAUGGUACUAGAAAUUGAGAAGGUUAAUGGUGUUAUAAACACCGUUUUGUCCAAGUAUAUAUUUUUCAACCAAAAAUUUCUGGAUGGACUGUGUUAGGUUCCUUUGGUCACCCUUUUUCCUGAUGUUUUAUGUGAGAAAGCAUCUUCACAUAUUGAAGGUGAAUCUUCUGUACAUUUUGGCAUCCAGAUAUGCCUUUAUUUGAAGUAAAAUGGUAUAAAGAGAUCUUGUUUUCAAGAAAGCUGGCAGGAUGAAGCCAUAACAAGGCAUUUUAGCAUUAGCCCGAGGCUCAAAACCGGACAAAGAAUUGAGCAAAUCUGCCUGCUAAUGACUCUUUUAGAAGUAGUUUUAAUUAAUCUGCACAUUUUGAUUCAGAUUCUCCUAGUUCGCCUUUCUACUGUAUUUACUGUUGGUUACAUAUUGAUGUGUAUGAAAAUGUUCUUGACUAGUAAAAGAACUCUUUUGGAAGAAUAGAAUAUUGGGAUUUUUAAAAUCUGCUUUUGAUGCUGCCAACAAAUAUUUGAGCUUCAUUGUUUGUGGUUGAAAUGAAGCGUCAUCAAUUUUAUUUCCUCCCUCCUUUAGUCCAAUCAUGUUGAGUAUUGUUAUUAAAUUUUCUGUCAUGAGAAGGGAUUCAUGUUGAGAAUUGUUAGUUGAACUACACUUGUUUUCACAGGCUUGGAUCACAGAGAUGGCUUCUUAUUUGAAAUCUGUUGAUAGAAAGCAUUUACUAGAAGUUGGUUUGGAAGGGUUUUAUGGAGAGUCUGCACCUAAGGAGAAGCAAUUCAAUCUAAAAUUUAAACUAGGAACAGAUUUCAUUGCAAAUAAUAACAUCCAUGGCAUUGAUUUCAUUACGAUUCACUUGUAUCAUGAUCAAUGGUAACGCUUCCUUCCGACACUUUACAGAUUUAUGAUCGAUCAUGUACACAUGGAAAAAAAAACAUAGUUUCAUGUUCUUCCUCGAAAUGCCCAAUACAUUCUUUGAUUCAAAACCCUUGAAAGGGUAUGUUUAAUUAUUAUUUUCUAGACACAGAAAAUCAACUUAAAUACUCUUUACUGCACCAGACGUUUUGUCAACUAGCUCUAAAAUUAUUAUAUACGAAAGUGUUAUGUUGGCAGUGUGGAUUACAAGGUGCAGUCCAAGAACCCAUAUCCUUCAUAGACAUUUCAUCAAACAGAAAAGCUGCAUUUUCAGUCUUUUAGAAUCCAGAUGGGUUGAUUAUACUUUUUUAAGGCAAAAGUGACCACAAUGAACAAAUCCAAAUUAUCUUUAUUCUUAUGUCUUUUUUCAACAAUUUUUGACCAGCAAAUUCAAACUGUUUUUGAGAUUAUUUCAACAAUCAUAAAUUCAUAACAAUCAAACUAUUGUAAGAUUCUGAAUAAUCCAAAUAGUCAUUGGUCUUAAACUUUGAAACCACCGAAAGGUGUAAUUUUUGGAUCUAAUAAAGAAAUUUUAUGCAUUUAUAUAGAAAAUUGUUUACCAAUAAUGUAAUCAAAAUAACAGUUCAUAUAAAUGUGAGCCAAAAUAGAGAGAGAGAGAGAGAGAGAGAGAGUGACCGAACUUGUAUAGGUAAACAGCUUCUCUUCCAAAUCCGUUCAAUUCGACCUAGAUUCUGAACUUGUAUCGGUCUAUUUUGGCUGAAAAUGAGAGAACGCACAUCGACGAAGCUCCUAUGUUUUUAUCUGAUUCCUUCGCUAGGUCGAAAUCAUGAGAGAACGCACAUCGACGAAGCUGCGAUUUGUUGCUUGCACCGAAUCGGGUCAGGGGCAGGGACAUGUUUUGGCUGAGAGAGAAGAAAUCAACCAGGGCAGCAGGGCUUCGUUUUACUUUCGACUUGCUUUGGCGCUUGCAGAGAAUCGAAUUUUAGAGAAUCGGAUUUUUGAAAAUGAGAGAGAAAUAAGAGGGGAGGG